CCGUAAAUGCAGGGUUCCCCCGAAAUGCAAUUUAUCACAUUAAUACAACUCAUGAGUAUAAAUUUAGAAAAGCACUAUGGAAUGUGAACAAUGUAAAUUUACUUUACAUUUUAUAGUUUCAUUUGUUUCUUUUACAAGAAUGUUGCUGUUUUAGUGACAGAGACAAAAAUGCCUCAAAAGGUUGAGAAACACUGCGUUAAGUUCACUUUUCCAUUUCUUUUACCGGGUCGGACCUCCACGGUAGCUGUGGCGGUGCUGGAGCGCCCGUGGCCGUCGUUUACUUUCAGCUGGAACAGGCCUUUGCCUUACUGCACCCACCCCAGCAGCGGGACUCUGGCUGUCUCUGACCCAGAGGUAGCGGACCUCAGCCUGGGCCCCGUCAGUCAUGGAGCCUCUGAGGACCAGCGAGUUGUUGGGCAGCGUGAGAGUGUGGCUGCCGCUGGCAUGCGCGACCGGGGGACGGCUUGUGGCUGCAGGAGGAGGAAGCCAGAGAGAGUGUGAAGCCACGACCCUGGAUCUAAGCUGACCUGGGAACGGUUCUGCUCCCGGGUUUUCUCCGGAAAUCUCCUACCCUCCUGCACCCAAACAGUCAGCGAGGCGCUGUCAGUCGCUCCCUGCUGGUCAGCCACUGUCAGUCUAAAGGUGUAUCGCCCCACUCGCAGACCUGUCACCGUGGCAACAGCCAGACCCACUCCAUCUAUGUUUAACCCUGGAGGACCCCUGGGAGAGCUCCCACUGAUGGUGCUGAUUAGAAACCUGACACCUGAGCGCCGGUGAGUUUGAAUGAUGAGUCCCACCUGACGGCCUCCCAGUGAUAACGGACGAUGCCACGGUCAUCUGUGCUGCUGCUGCCGUUGAGCAAUAGGCUGCUCACUGGAAAAAACAGUGUCCUGUCUGGACCCACAACAGCCAGUGGCCCACGGUUUGCCCCUCUGAGCUGUGACGCUGAAAGAAGCCACAGGAGAAAAGGGAAGAGCUGUGGAAUCAACACAGUCAGUCAGAUUCAGUGUCCAGGCCAGGAUUCCAACCGUGCAGCUCCUUCCAGUGAGACUAUUGAGGCUUUGUAGUCCUUCAUUUACCCGUUGUAGCACACGGUGUGUCUGCCGAUGGCAUGCUGGGGUCAGAGGUCACGGCCCAGCCCUGGGCUUGGAUGGUGCUCAGUGAGUCUGUAGGACAGUAAACGUGGAUGCCACAUAAAGUCACCUCGUGUCUCUGCGUCAUUUCACACUGAAUGGUUUUCAUUUUUUUCCUUGGGCUUCAGAUAAAUCGAUAGGUUCAGGACAAGUCAGAUUAGUGGAGUUCCUUACCAGGUGCAGGUUUAGCCACUAUGGGCGGUGCCAGUGCUACAGGGCUUCCCACGGACACCAGCAAGGGUCCAACUGCAGGUGAACAGUGACCCUAUUACAGUUUAUAUGCAUGCUGUAUGUUUAUGAUGUGAGUAAAUAGAGAAAAUGUAAAAUAGUACAAAUUUAAACUUUAAAUAUUAAAAAUAUUUCAUUAUGAGAGAAUGAAAACAGAACAAAGAAUAAAAUCAAGUAUGAAUAAACUGAA